rnacentral:misc_RNA from 1 species
CAGAGUUUUCUAACUCCUAAACCCUUUGUGAACUUACCAUUCUGUUGCCUCGGCGGGCCUCUGGGAUUCGUCCCACGUCCGCCGGCGGCCCCUGUAAACUCUGUUACAUAUAAGCAAUCUGAGCGUCUUUUAAAAAUAAAGUCA